rnacentral:lncRNA from 1 species
AUGCACUCGGAGCCUGGGGCCAGACUGGUGCUAACACUGCAAACUUUGUCCAGAGCUCUCUCCAACCUGAAGGCUUGCUGGGGGUGCAAUGUCACCUUCACACAUGCUGGGCCCUUUCAGAAAAGUGCCAGAUCGUGUAACUGGUGCUAUUUUUCAUGCUCUGGUACAAUGUGUAGCACCACGGGGGUCUCAGCUUUACCAAAAUCAAAAUUCCAUUUGUCAGCUAAGUGCAGAGGCAUUUGUUUUUUGCUCUCCUCCCACAGAAUUGUCGGCCAUUUAUUUGCAGGCCUUUUGCGGGAUUUCUUGGCUAUUUAUUUGCAGGCCUUUUUUCCCAGCCCCAAAUUCUUGGGUUGGCUCUGUCUGCUUAAAGAGCCUGUCUUCACAAAGCUGCACUCGGGUGCCUCUGUGCGCUGUCUUAGAUCCUACUGCCGGCCCUUCAGGACUCCGAGCCAGGAAAGAACUCUCCAACCUCUGGCUCGAGACUCUACUUUUUUUCUCAUUCUUUUCCUUACUCUCCUCCUCCUUCUACUUCCGACUAAUUCCAUCUCUUUUUUUUUUUGUUCCUCUCCUUUUCCUAUUCCUCCUUCCCACCAUCUCUGAGUUGUUGA